AUUGAACGCUGGCGGCAGGCUUAACACAUGCAAGUCGAGCGGAAACGAUGGUAGCUUGCUAUCAGGCGUCAAGCGGCGGACGGGUGAGUAACGCGUAGGAAUCUACCUAGUAGUGGGGGACAACAUGUGGAAACGCAUGCUAAUACCGCAUACGCCCUACGGGGGAAAGCGAGGGAUCUUCGGACCUCGUGCUAUUAGAUGAGCCUGCGUAAGAUUAGCUUGUUGGUGAGGUAAUGGCUCACCAAGGCGACGAUCUUUAGCUGGUCUGAGAGGAUGAUCAGCCACACUGGAACUGAGACACGGUCCAG
rnacentral:rRNA from 1 species